GUUCAUAACUUUCUGUAUAAUGUAACUAUUUUGUCAUGUGGUUCCAGAUGUUCCUCUCUGAUUCUAGGCAGAUACCUUGAUCUCUUCAAUGAUUAUUUGUGGCGCUUGAUACUCUUAGAAAUUACACUUGCCUGUUUGCCAUUUGAUUAAUUCAGUUUAAAGAAGCACAAGAAAGAGAAACUUCAUAGGAAGAUGUGCUUACAAUUGCUUAAACUACUAGCAGGACUCUUAAGCAGGAAAGUUGCGCUGAAACCAUGGUCUUGCUGUCAUCCACGACUUAAGGUGGACAGAAAUAUAGGUGGCAGCUUCUUCUGAUCACCAUCCAUUGCAAUACCCUAAGGACGAAAGCUUCCGGGAAAAUAAGACAAAAGUGGUGGCUCCCUCCUCCCUCUUUCUUUGAUUGGCUGGUUGUCUUUCCCCGUCGCCCUCUGCCUCCUAACAACCUUCGUCCAAGAAGACCGCGCGAGAGUGGCCUUCUUCCCUCCGGUCUCGUGCUGCCGUCGGACGAAGCAGGAGGAGGAUGGGGAAGAAGGCUUCGUAUUCGCCAGCUAUGAGCGACUUGGACGCUGGCCGAAGAGGCCCGUGGGUGGCACCGUGCCCCCCGCCGCCUCAGGAGACGUGGGUGGCGUGGUUGGUGCCCCUCAUCGCCCUCGCCAACAUUGUCUCCUUCGGCUACACCAUGUAUGUCAACGACUGCCCCUCCACCCACCGCCUCGAGGCCUCCGAUUGCGUCUUCCCUUCCCUUGGCCGAUUCGCUUUCGAGCCCUUCUCCAUCAACCCGCUCCUUGGUCCCUCCCUCUACACGCUUGAUAGUUUGGGGGCUCUUGAUUACAAUAAAGUAGUAGUGGAAGGUGAAAGAUGGAGGCUUCUUGCCUGCAUAUGGUUACAUGCUGGGGUUAUCCAUUUGCUUGCUAACAUGUUAAGCCUUCUAUUCACGGGCGUUCGUCUUGAACAGGAAUUUGGAUUUGUGAAAAUUGGAUUACUAUAUGUCCUUUCUGGCAUUGGUGGGAGCUUGAUGUCCUGUUUCUCUAUUCAAUCAAAUAUAUCAGUUGGUGCAUCAGGUGCACUUUUUGGAUUGUUAGGGGCAAUGCUGUCUGAGCUGAUCACAAAUUGGACAAUUUACUCUAAUAAGUGUGCAGCACUUUUGACUCUAAUGGUCGUAAUUGCUAUUAACUUGGUGGUUGGAGUUGUUCCUCAUGUGGAUAGUUCUGCCCAUAUUGGAGGAUUUGUUUCUGGUUUUCUGCUUGGUUUUGUGCUUCUAAUGCGUCCUCAGUUUGGGUGGAUCAGCCGUAGGCACAUCCCUCCAGGUUAUAACAUGGAACUCAUUAGACCAAAGCACAACCUGUGCCAAUAUCUUCUCUGGUUUACAGCCCUUGUUGUCUUGAUCAUUGGAUUUUUGUUUGGCUUGAUUAAGCUAUCAUAUGUAGACCGGCAGCUACAUUGAUAUGCUCUGGUGUUGUGAUAUUUGCUUGGGCAACUUACAACCUCAUUCAUCAAAAUAUCAGAUUCUUUUAGCACAGGAAAAGUCAACUUCCAAUGGUGAUCUUUAUAUAAUGUGAGAGAUGUAUGCUUGACGUUGCUUACUGCAAUGCUUGCAAAAAUUGUGCUGCUUCGCACGGCAGAAGCAUCUUCGACUGGAGGAGAUGUGAAUGAAAGGAGUAGCAGCCGAUGGACAUUGUCAUUAGGAAACAAGGAACCAGGUGCUCUCAUUCUCAUUCCUAUGCAGGCUAUGAAUCGAACAUGAUAUAGUGGAAACUUGAGCCACAAUUCUGUAACACUAAAACCGUGAAGUUCUUAAGCUGCUACUAUGUGUUCUGGAGGUCUCACAAGAUGUUUUUUCUUAUCGUUAGUCAUUGGAAUUGGACUAGUGUUUCUCUUGCAUAGUUGAUCUUGAACACUGAGAAUGUCGACAUAUUAAGGGACAAGAGUUUACCUUAUAGCAUGUCUAUAGGAAUGUCAUAUUAUAUAUUUAUAAUUGUACUUUAUAGCAGCAAUGUUGUAAACAAAUUGUGAAUUUUACAAGUAG